UACAGAGGGGGCAAGCGUUGUUCGGAAUUACUGGGCGUAAAGGGCGCGUAGGCGGCCGCCUAAGUCAGACGUGAAAUCCCUCGGCUCAACCGGGGGAACUGCGUCUGAUACUGGGUGGCUUGAAUCCGGGAGAGGGAUGCGGAAUUCCAGGUGUAGCGGUGAAAUGCGUAGAUAUCUGGAGGAACACCGGUGGCGAAGGCGGCAUCCUGGACCGGCAUUGACGCUGAGGCGCGAAAGCCAGGGGAGCAAAGCGGGG
rnacentral:rRNA from 1 species